rnacentral:lncRNA from 1 species
UUGUACUGGUUUUCAAAUCUAAACAUGUACUACUACUACCAAAAGAAACUAGAUCAAAUUGGUUUUAUAUCAAACAACAUAGUUCUUUACCAUAUCCAAUAAGUUACUCUUACAUUAUUGAAGAGAAAGAUAAUACAAAAAAUAUAUAAAACAAAAAAUAUGAAAUGAAUAUAUAAUAGUAUAGAAAUGAUCAUAACGAGAUAUAAAUUACUUCAAAUCCAAAAAAGAAAAUCGUAAACAAAAAAAUAAAAUAUGAAAAUAUAUAAAGAGAUAAUGUAACCAAUAAAAAAUACAACAAUCCGC